UACGAAGGGGGCUAGCGUUGUUCGGAAUCACUGGGCGUAAAGGGCGCGUAGGCGGCUUUUCAAGUCGGGGGUGAAAGCCUGUGGCUCAACCGAGGAAGUGCAUCUGAAACUGGCGGGCUAGAGUACUAAAGAGGGUCGCGGAAUUCCCGGUGUAGAGGUGAAAAUUCGUAGAUAUCGGGAGGAACACCGGUGGCGAAGGCGGCGACCUGGGUGAGAUACUGACGCUGAGGUGCGAAAGCGUGGGGAGCAAACAGG
rnacentral:rRNA from 1 species